rnacentral:lncRNA from 1 species
UGUGCAGGAUUCCAAGGAUACUUUGGGCUAUCUCGAGGUUGAGGUUUUCGAUCGGAAUUUCUGAGGAGACCACGGGUCUUUCGUGGUUGAAGUUAUUCCACGCAGCUUGUGGUAGUUUGUUAUGGACUAGUUGGAGCACCCCUGAAUGUUUAAUAUUUUUCAGAAAGCCAUGCCUGAGGUUAUGUGACAAUUUGGAAACUUUGUUUAACAGUUUGUCAUAGCAAACAUGGAGUAAACUUAAUUAAAAUAUGCCAAUUGUGUGCGUAACCGUGACUAUCUCUACUCAUGAGUUCUGCAUUAGAUAGAAGACAAGGUGGGGUUAUGUUUGACGCGUGAGUAGGUAUUCAGGAUCAUUUCAUGAUCAUUAUUAGUCCACGUUGAUUUAUGUGUAGAUCACCCCCUUCUUAUUCUCGUACUCGUAAGUUAACCAUUCAAAUAAAUUCUUACUACUUGUUGUAGCCUCACCACAUAACCAGACCUAACCCAUUGUCACACCAUGUGUUUGUAUCACUUUUGCCACAAGUCGUGUUUUGAAAUUUUGGAACUAAUUAAAACCUUGUACAUGUGCAUG